rnacentral:lncRNA from 1 species
AAUUUCCAAGAAUAGACUAUGGUGUAUAUUAUAAAUUUCUUUGAUAAGAUGUAUUUUGAAUGUCUUUUAAUCUUCCUCCUCCUCUCCAAAAAAAUCAGAAACCUCUUUAAGAAAACAUGUAGGUUAUAUAUGCUAGAAUUGCAUUUAAUCACUGUGAAAAGACUGGUCAGCCUGCAUUAGUAUGACAGUAGGGGGGCUGUUAGAGUUGCUGCUAUACUGGUGGUAUGGAUUAUCAUGGCAUUGGAAUUUUCAUAGUAAUGCAGAUCCAAUUUCUUUGUGGUACCUGCAGUUUACAAAAUAAUUUGACUUCAGUGAGCAUAUUGGUAUCUGGAUGUUCCAAUUUAGAACUAAACCAUAUUUAUUACAAAAAGAUAUUAAUCCCUCUACUCCCAGGUUCCCUUUAUAUGUUAAGAUAUAAUGGCUUUGAGAGGGGGAAAACAUAAACCUAGGGGAGAGGGGAGUUUCCUGUAGUGCUGUUUCAUUAGAGGAUUUCAGUAAAUUAAAUUCCACAGCUAAUUCAAUAAAUAAUGGUACAUUUAAGUGUUCUGAUUUUAAUAAUAUAUUUCACAUUUAUCCACACAGUAACAAUGUAAUAUGUUAAUGUAAAUAAAAUUGGUUUUGAUACUCAGAAAUAACAAGAAUUUAAUUUUUUAAAUUUGUUUACAGUCCUGGGAAAAGUAAGAAUUAUUUGCCAAAAUAAGAGGAAAGAAAACCUUAGUAUUAUUAAUGAGUUUACCAUAGAAUUGUUGGAAAUACUGAAGACAGGUGCAAUUUACUAAACUUUUGUUUUUAAACUAUUGUAGAGGCUGCAUUAGAAGAAAAUGUUUAUAAUGACAGAGCAACUAUGACUAUAUUAAAAAGCUGAAAUUAGAACUGUGUUUAGAAAUAGAUCAGUAACCCAGUGCCAAGGAUGCCAAGCUGCCACCAUGGUCUUGGCUCUCCCACAACCCAGUGUUUCUGGGCACUUCUUAACCUGCUCACUGCCCAUCAGAACAGCCUCCGACAAAGCUGCAUCCAAAUUCUUUAAAGGGCAAUUCAUUGCCCCAAGUAAUCUGCCAAACCUGUCUUCAUU